AGUGCAAGAAGCCAGACUUUCAAGUCAAGCUGAGUGAGGAACAACCCAGGGAGCAGCGUGAAUGGCUUGGCCUUUUCUUCCCAAUGCCCUCUAGAUUCAUCCAGAUCCACAUGCAGGGUUCCAGUAUUAAGCUGGGUGUCCAUGAAAAAGUCCGGAGAUCAGGUGGCUCAGUGGUUCCUGCUCCAAUCUGUCAUUCUGUAGGCCAACGCCUACCAGCUUCCCUACACGCCAACCUCCUCCAGAGUGAAAAGCUAGAUCCUGCCCUCGAUGAGACAUCAGGGCAAGAGUCUAAGACCCACAUGUUUGUGGCCACAAGCUCAUCCUCUUUCUCUUCACUGGGGCUUCAUCCUGUGCUCCAGACUUGCGUGGAGACCAAUGGCAUUUGGGCCAACACUGGCCUUUCAGAUUCCUAGCUGUGAAAACUCAACUCUUGGUCCUGAGUCAGUUUGCAUUAUGGAGAAGAAGAAGUCAAAGGCACACAUAUCGAGUAUGUCUCCAGUAUUCACAUCUGUCCUCCCCUGUGCUUCUCACCCCCUUCAGAAUCGUUUGCCUCCACUUUUCCUUGGCUUUCUGCCUUGUUUUACUGCAACAGUCUCUCUUUCCCCACUCUUCGCCAUAACUUUCAGAGUUAUCAUCCUCAAGUUCAGCUCCAGGCAUGGCAUUCUGCUGCUCUAAACUCUUCUGUGGCUCCUCGUUGCCUACCAUCUUAACUCUUAAUAAAUCCUUGACGUAGAUUUCCUUCCCUAAGGCCUUACAUAAGUUGACCACAGCUUGCCUUUCCAGAAGGUGAGCCAAACUGAUUGUAACUUUUCCCAGAGGGAGUUAGUAGCCAUCGAGGGGAUUGCCAGGCUUUGCAAAUCCAUUAGAACAGAAAGUGGUCUGGACCCCUGCCUCACUUUACCUAACUACCUACUUUUCAUCUCCUGCACCUCAGGUUUCCUACUCAUCCAAUGAAUACUGAGGGUCAAAUAGACUCAGGGGUCCCUUCUGGCUCUGAAAUGCUGAAGGAGUGGAGGAAGCGUGCACCUAAAUCUGGAAAGCCUAGGGAUACUUCAAAGUUGAAGAUCCCGCCUCAGGACCUUAGUGACACUUUGGAGUCACCUAGGUACUUUAUCAAACUCUGGAUGAAGCCUGGGUCCUACUCCAGACAUUCUGAUUUAAUUAGUAUGGAGUGUUACUUAGUCAUUGGGAUUUUUAAUAGCUCUCUGGAGGAUUCUGAUGUGCCACGGAGUCUGAGAAUACAAUUCUACCUGAAAGGCAGGCACGGAAGGGCAAUGAGACGACCUUUAUCACAGGGAGACGUUGCCCACACCAUGGUCCAGACUGAGACCACCUGUGUAGGAGAUGGACCCACCACUCCCACAGCAGCUGCUCACCCAAAAACGUAUUCCUCUUACUUUUGCUGGCGUGCAUGCGAAAGACAAGAUUCAGAUGUCUCUCAGCCUAGGCGACAUCUUCCUCCUACGCUGUCAUCAGUGAACUGCUGAGCCUGAGUGGAGAGGCCAGAGGACUGGUCUCUGUAACGCUCUAGGAUUGCUGGUGGUCAGGGCCCGUCCUUCCAGAUGCACUGAGCUGUGCCCUGUCUCAGCCCAGGGUAAGAGCUGCUAGCUUGGCUCUGGAACUGGACGUGAGUGUGGGGCCAGCCGGCUGGUGCUGGUCAGAAGGUGGGGGCCCACCCAGAGAGGGGAGCCCAAGCCACACAUUUUCACUGCGCUGCAAAAGUUUCAUUUUAAAACCUUUGGAAAGAGAUUACCAAACAUCUGAAAAAAUAAAGUGGUGGUAAUAGCGACCUAGGACA
ensembl:lncRNA